rnacentral:misc_RNA from 1 species
GUAAGUAGUUGGGGAAUAGGGGCUGUUUUACAACAGCAGGGUAAUCCUUUGGCCUACGUUUCUAAAACUUUUGGGCUUAGAAGUUAAGGCAUUAUCUGUGUAUAAAAGGGAAUAAAAAUAGCUAUUACUUUUGCAGUCACCAAAUGGAGACACUACUUGGAGCAAGGUUAGUUUUUCAUCAAAAGUGAUCAUAAGAGUAUAAAAUAUUUGCUUGAGCAAAGGCUUCACACUAACUUGCAACAAUGGGGUUUUUCUAAACUCUUGGGACUAGAUUACAGAAUUAUUUACAGAAAAGGUGGGGGAAAUGAGGCUGGUGAUGCUCUUUCAAGAAGACCUGAUAGAGAUACUCUUUCUUGUUGUGCACUUCAAUCUAAUACUUUCUACUUAAAAGUCCAAUCUCAUUCUUAGCUAUGACAAUGAUUCUAAGGCUGCUGCACUUAUCCAAAAGCUAUGUUUGGAUGAUUCAGCUGCAAAUGGUUAUCAGUUGAAGCGGGAAGCUCUUUUUUAUUAUUAUAGCAAAUUGUAUGCGGCGAGUUUCAAUGAUUUAAGGCAUCACUUGAUUGCUUGGGCAUUCUGGGGUCAAGGUGAAUUAUUUGGGACUAAAGAAGCACUUCUUUUGGCCUUGUAGGUUUAAAGAUGUCUUGGGUUGAAUUCAGCAAUGUGACAAUUGUGCUAGGUGCAAGAGUGAACACUGUGCCACUCUAGGUCUGUU